rnacentral:rRNA from 1 species
AGCCGCCGCGGUAACACCGGCAGCUCUAGUGGUAGCAAUUUUAUUGGGCCUAAAGCGUCCGUAGCCGGUUUAAUAAGUCUCUGGUGAAAUCCUGCAGCUUAACUGUGGGAAUUGCUGGAGAUACUAUUAGACUUGAGACCGGGAGAGGUUAGAGGUACUCCCAGGGUAGAGGUGAAAUUCUGUAAUCCUGGGAGGACCGCCUGUUGCGAAGGCGUCUAACUGGAACGGUUCUGACGGUGAGGGACGAAAGUUAGGGGCGCGAACCGGAUUAGAUACCCGGGUAGUCCUAACUGUAAACGGUGCGGACUUGGUGUUGGGGUGGCUUUGAGCUGCUCCAGUGCCGAAGGGAAGCUGUUAAGUCCGCCGCCUGGGAAGUACGGUCGCAAGACUGAAACUUAAGGAAUUGGCGGGGGAGCACCACAACGCGUGGAGCCUGCCGGUUUAAUUGGAUUCAACGCCGGACAUCUCACCAGAGGCGACAGCUGUAUGAUAGCCAGGUUGAUGACUUUGCUUGACUAGCUGAGAAGAGGUGCAUGG